rnacentral:rRNA from 1 species
UACAGAGGGUGCGAGCGUUAAUCGGAAUUACUGGGCGUAAAGCGCGCGUAGACGGUUUUGUAAGUCAGAUGUGAAAUCCCUGGGCUCAACCUGGGAACUGCAUUUGAGACUGCAUGGCUAGAGUAUGGAAGAGGGAAGUGGAAUUUCCGGUGUAGCGGUGAAAUGCGUAGAUAUCGGAAGGAACACCAAUGGCGAAGGCAGCCGCCUGGGCCUGAUCUGACACUGAGACACGAAAGCGUGGGGAUCAAACAGG